GACGAACGCUGGCGGCGUGCUUAACACAUGCAAGUCGAACGAUGAAGCCGGAGCUUGCUCCGGUGGAUUAGUGGCGAACGGGUGAGUAACACGUGAGCAAUCUGCCCUUGACUCUGGGAUAACUGCGGGAAACUGUAGCUAAUACCGGAUACGACACCUUGGGGCAUCCCAGGGUGUGGAAAGAAUUUCGGUCAAGGAUGAGCUCGCGGCCUAUCAGCUAGUUGGUGAGGUAAUGGCUCACCAAGGCGACGACGGGUAGCCGGCCUGAGAGGGUGACCGGCCACACUGGAACUGAGACACGGUCCAGACUCCUACGUGAGGCAGCAGUGGGGAAUAUUGCACAAUGGGAGAAAGGCUGAUGCAGCAACGCCGCGUGAGGGAUGAAGGCCUUCGGGUUGUAAACCUCUUUUAGCAGGGAAGAAGCGAAAGUGACGGUACCUGCAGAAAAAGCACCGGCUAACUACGUGCCAGCCGCCGCGGUAA
rnacentral:rRNA from 1 species